UGGACCGACGCGGAUUACGGU
rnacentral:siRNA from 1 species